AUGUGCAGAAGAAUGAAACUGGACGAUUUCCUUACACUGAAUGCAAAAACAGACUCAGAAAUGGAUGAGAGACCUCAGUGUGAGACAGUCUGUUGCAUCUCCUGGUCUGAAGGAAGUGGCCCUGUGCAGAAGUGUCCUAUGGGGCCCAGCAGUGCAAUAUCUCCUGGUCAACAGAAGCAGGUGUUCCAGGCUGUGUGGUUUGUAUAUGCCCUCCAGUUGUUGUUGAGCUGCAAUCGCUACAGGCCUGCUGAUGAGCAAGGAAGGUUUCUGGAGCAACUGGCUAAAAGGCCAGGUAUUUCUGUGAGUGAGGUCAGCCCCCAUCAUAGCCAGCUGAAAUGCCUGGCUGCAACUGGUACAGGUUUACUGGUUGGACAGCCUUCAGUGUCGCUGAUAGUGGGCGGAGUAGACUUCACCGGACCGCAGCUCUACAGCGUGCCCCCCAACGGCUCUUACAGCCGUCUGCCCUUCGCAGCCCUGGGUUCCGGCCAGGAUGCUGCUCUGGUGGUACUGGAGGAUCGGUUCCAGGUGAACAUGAAACUGGAGGCCGCCCAGGAGCUGCUAGUGGAAGCCAUCACUGCAGGGAUCCUGGGUGACCUGGGCUCUGGAGGCAGUGUGGAUGCAUGUGUGAUAACGGAGACCGGCGCCAAGCUUCUGAGAACAUUAAGCUCACCCACAAAGCCCAUAGAGAGGCCCAGCCAGUACCGCUUUGCCCCUGGGACCACAGCUGUCCUGUCCAGGACAGUGAAGCCACUGACCCUGGAACUGCUUGAGGAAACCGUUCAGGCCAUGGAGGUAGAAUGAAGUGGAAUGAUGCUUAGGGCUUGGAACGAAGAGAAAUAAACCCAAGAAAUACAAA